rnacentral:rRNA from 1 species
UACAGAGGGCCCAAGCGUUGUUCGGAUUCAUUGGGCGUAAAGGGUGCGUAGGCGGCGCGGUAAGUCGGGUGUGAAAUCUCGGAGCUUAACUCCGAAACUGCAUUCGAUACUGCCGUGCUUGAGGACUGGAGAGGAGACUGGAAUUUACGGUGUAGCGGUGAAAUGCGUAGAUAUCGGAAGGAAGACCAGUGGCGAAGGCGGGUCUCUGGACAGUUCCUGACGCUGAGGCACGAAGGCCAGGGGAGCAAACGGG